AUACGUAGGGUGCGAGCGUUAAUCGGAAUUACUGGGCGUAAAGCGUGCGCAGGCGGCUUUAUAAGCCAGAUGUGAAAUCCCCGGGCUCAACCUGGGAACUGCAUUUGGAACUGUAAGGCUAGAGUACGGCAGAGGGGGGUAGAAUUCCACGUGUAGCAGUGAAAUGCGUAGAUAUGUGGAGGAAUACCGAUGGCGAAGGCAGCCCCCUGGGUCGAUACUGACGCUCAUGCACGAAAGCGUGGGGAGCAAACAGGAUUAGAAACCCGAGUAGUCC
rnacentral:rRNA from 1 species